rnacentral:rRNA from 1 species
AGUGAACGCUGGCGGCGUGCCUAAUACAUGCAAGUCGAACGGAGUGGCGCACGGGUGAGUAAUGUAUAGCUAAUCUGACCUACACUAGAGGACAACAGUUGGCAACGGCUGCAAAUACUCUAUAGUGUAGGAUGAGGCUAUAUUGUAUCAGCUAGUUGGGGAGGUAUUGGCUCCCCAAGGCUAUGACGCAUAACUGGUCUGAGCGGAUGAUCAGUCACACUGGAACUGAGACACGGUCCGGACUCCUACGGGAGGCAUCAGUAGGGAAUAUUGCUCAAUGGGGGAAACCCUGAAGCAUCAACGCCGCGUGGAGUAUGACACUUUUCGGAGCGUAAACUCCUUUUGUUAGGGAAGCGGUACCUAACGAAUAAGCACCGGCUAACUCCGUGCCAGCAGCCGCGGUAAUUG